GUGAAAGCAGGGUCCCCACAGACUUCUAUCAGGCGCGUUCACGGUCAUAACAAAGCCUACGUCAGCAUGCGCGCUUCACAGAAUGUCCGCCCCCAUGCUUGCCUGGAGUUUCACAUCGCAAUAGGAUUCUCCUCAGGUCUGUGAGGAUGAGAAGGUCUCCACAGUCUGGAGUCUGGUCUCUGACAGGCUCAACAUACCUGUCAAUCAACAGGGACUCCUCUACAAAGGCAAGGCGCUGGCAGGUAGGCUGAACAGCACAGCACAGCACAGCUCACCCCUCCUCUCACCCCUCACCUCAUCCCUCCUCUCACUCCUCGCCUCACCCCGGGUCAGUGUGGCACAGCCUGCCUGCUCUUCUGAACAAACACUUCAGCCCUGCCGACGCAGUGAGAGUCUGGAGCAGCAACACAAGGUAACCUGAACACAAACACACACACACACACAGACACACACAAACACACACACAGUGAGAGGCUGGAGCAGCUACACAAGGUAAAUUGAACACAAUAAACACGGCUACACACACAAUCCUAGCUGCAGCAGAUGUACAAUGUUAUACAGACACACACAGACACAGCUGUACAGUGACACCGAGACGCACACACAAUCACAGCUGCAGCACACACACUCUGAAAUGCAGGUGUAGAGCAGCGUGUAGUUGUGACUCUGUGUCUCUCUCCUCCCCCUCUCCUCUCCUCUCCUUACUUUGUUUAAAAGAAUAGAAGCACACCCAGUGAGCAAGGCAUUGAGCAGCCCCACAUCCCGCUUCACAAUACCGCUACAUAUUGACUGACUGUUCGCAUUGUGUGUGUUUGGUAAGACAAACCACAUUUUCUACUUCUACUUUCUACGAUUGGGCAAGUCAGCGGUUGUUUGAUAACAGAACAUAAAACAUCACAGAGUGGGUUGAACUGCAUUGCUGGAAAUCAAGGCCCUUUAAAAUGUGUACCUUCCCAGCUCAGGUAUUGCUGAGGUAAAGAGACACUUCCUACAGGAGGACAGGACGUUGUCAAGGAGGGGAUGUCGUCACGUGUCCUGAGGGCUUUCUUAAAAACAUUGUUUUAUUAUUUCUAAGCGUACGUUGUUAUUGCCUUUUAGCUCUUGAGCAUAAUAAUCUCAAUCCCGUUUGAAAUGACACUAAGUGCAUUUGCAUGGUGGCAGAUGAGGGAUGUCGCUUCACUCGAGGCUUGCGUACUGAUGAAGAUGUAGUUUCAGUGUUUAAUGCUCAUCCCCUCACUGUGUGUCUGUGUGUGUUCUUGUCUCUCGCCUGUCCUGUGAGGAUGAAGAUGUAGUUUCAGUGUUUAAUGCUCAUCCCCUCACUGUGUGUCUGUGUGUUCUUGUCUCUUGACAGGUCUGUGAGGAUGAGAAGGUCUCCACAGUCUGGAGUCUGGUCUCUGACAGGCUCAACAUACCUGUCAAUCAACAGGGACUCCUCUACAAAGGCAAGGCGCUGGCAGGUAGGCUGAACAGCACAGCACAGCACAGCACAGCACAGCUCACCCCUCCUCUCACGCCUCGCCUCACCCCGGGUCAGUGUGGCACAGCCUGCCUGCUCUUCUGAACAAACACUUCAGCCCUGCCGACGCAGUGAGAGUCUGGAGCAGCAACACAAGGUGAUGAAGUGACACAUUGAAUAUGGGGCCUGAUGAGAGAAGUAUCCUUUUCAUGUGGUUUUGGUUUUGCCGUUGUGAGCAGGUAUGGGAGACAGCACCGUGUCUGCAUGUGAAAUAACAAAGUCAUCGCAGUGGAGGGACUCUCUGAAGGCUGUUGUUUGUGGAUUUGUCUUGUAAUGUGAGUGAUCUACUGUACUGUGAUGCCACUGGCUGUACGCAUGCUGCACUGCAGGGGAGAGACCGCUGGCAUUCACAGGGCAUGCUUGUUCAUUUAAAGCACGCUGCACUGCAGGGGAGACACCGCUGGCAUUCACAGGGCAUGC